UCCAGACUCCUACGGGAGGCAGCAGUGGGGGAUAUUGCACAAUGGGGGGAACCCUGAUGCAGCGACGCCGCGUGGGUGAAGGAGUAUUUCGGUAUGUAAAGCCCUAUCGGCAGGGAAGAAGCAAGACGGUACCUGACUAAGAAGCCCCGACUAACUACGUGCCAGCAGCCGCGGUAAUACGUAGGGGGCGAGCGUUAUCCGGAUUCACUGGGUGUAAAGGGAGCGUAGACGGCCAAGCAAGCCAGGGGUGAAAGCCCGGGGCCCAACCCCGGGACUGCCCUUGGAACUGCAUGGCUGGAGUGCGGGAGGGGCAGGCGGAAUUCCUGGUGUAGCGGUGAAAUGCGUAGAUAUCAGGAGGAACACCGGCGGCGAAGGCGGCCUGCUGGACCGUGACUGACGUUGAGGCUCGAGAGCGUGGGGAGCAAACAGGAUUAGAUACCCUGGUA
rnacentral:rRNA from 1 species